AGUGAACGCUGGCGGUAGGCCUAACACAUGCAAGUCGAGCGGCCGCACAGUAAGAUCUUGCUCUUACGGGUAGCGAGUGGCGGACGGGUGAGGAAUACAUCGGAAUCUACUUUUUCGUGGGGGAUAACGUAGGGACACUUACGCUACUACCGCAUACGACCUACGGGAGAAAGCAGGGGAUCUUCGCACCUUGCGCGUUUGAAUGAGACGAUGUCGCAUUAGCUAGUUGGCGGGGUAAAGGCCCACCAAGGCGACGAUCCGUAGCUGGUCUGAGAGGAUGAUCAGCCACACUGGAACUGAGACACGGUCCAGACUCCUACGGGAGGCAGCAGUGGGGAAUCUUGGGCAAUGGGCGCAAGCCUGACCCAGCCAUACCGCGUGAGUGAUGAAGGCCUUCGGAUCGUAAAGCCCUUUUGUUGGGAAAGAAAAGCAGCAGGUUAAUACCCCGCUGUUCUGACGGUACCCAAAGAAAAAGCACCGGCUAACUUCGUG
rnacentral:rRNA from 1 species